AUGUCCGCCUCUGGUGGGAUCCCGCCUCCAUGCGCGGCCACGUCUGGCUCGACGCUAGCGCGCCCGGCGCGCCGGGGCCCAGCGCUGCCGGGGAGGACUAGCUCCUGCCGAUCCGGGUGUCCGAGGACACCUCGCGCUUCCGGUACACCAACCCGACGGGCCACCCUUCUGGGCUCCGGAUCACGCGCAUCGCUGCCGAGGCCGUGCGGCUUGUGGGAGGCGGGGGCGCGCGGUGGGUGGUGCUCGUGGACGACGACACCGUGCUGUCCCCGGACAACCUGGUGGUGUGCUCGGGAAGUACGACUGGAGGGAGAUGGUGUACGUCGGGGCCUCGUCGGAGAGCCACUCGGCCAACACCUAUUUCAGCCACGGCCCCUCGCCGCUGUGCUCGCGCGGACACUCGACGUGUGCAUCGAGAGGUACCCCAGGCUGUAUGGAAGCGACGACCGCCUCCAUGCUUGCAUCACGGAGCUUGGCGUACCCCUUUCGCGCGAAUAUGAAUUCCAUCAUGUAUGUUUGGGUGUUCAUAUUUUUGAUAGACAAACACUAAUAGGUGCACUUGACUGUUUGAGGAAAUGCCAACUGAAAGCGAAAUUCAGUUAG
rnacentral:rRNA from 1 species